UGUGCGGUGGUAGCAGUUUGGUAGCUUCGCGGCCUCAUAAGCCGAAGGUCGCCGGUUCGAAUCCGGCCCGCGCAAC
rnacentral:tRNA from 1 species